rnacentral:rRNA from 1 species
GAUGAACGCUGGCGGCGUGCCUAACACAUGCAAGUCGAGCGAACGGACGAGAAGCUUGCUCCUCUGAUGUUAGCGGCGGACGGGUGAGUAACACGUGGAUAACCUACCUAUAAGACUGGGAUAACUUCGCGAAACCGUAGCUACUACCGGAUAAUAUUUUGAACCGCAUUGUUCAAAAGUUAAAGACGCUCUUGCUGUCACUUAUAGAUGGCUCCGCGCUGCAUUAGCUAGUUGGUAAGGUAACGGCUUACCAAGGCAACGAUGCAUAGCCGACCUGAGCGGGUGGUCGGACACACUGGAAGUGAGAAACGGUCCAGACACCUACGGGAGGCAGCAGUAGGGAAUCUUCCGCGAUGGGGGAAAGCCUGACGGAGCAACGCGGCGGGAGUGAUGAAGGUCUUCGGAUGGUAGAACUCUGUAGUUAGGAGAGAACAAAUGCGUAAGUAACCGUGCACAUCUUGACGGUACCUAAUGAAAAAGCCCCGGCUAACUACGUG